AAUGAACGCUGGCGGCAUGCCUAACACAUGCAAGUCGAACGAGACCUUCGGGUCUAGUGGCGCACGGGUGCGUAACGCGUGGGAACCUGCCCUUAGGUUCGGAAUAACUCCCCGAAAGGGGUGCUAAUACCGGAUAAUGUCUUCGGACCAAAGAUUUAUCGCCUUUGGAUGGGCCCGCGUUGGAUUAGCUAGUUGGUAGGGUAAAAGCCUACCAAGGCGACGAUCCAUAGCUGGUCUGAGAGGAUGAUCAGCCACACUGGGACUGAGACACGGCCCAGACUCCUACGGGAGGCAGCAGUGGGGAAUAUUGGACAAUGGGCGAAAGCCUGAUCCAGCAAUGCCGCGUGAGUGAUGAAGGCCUUAGGGUUGUAAAGCUCUUUUACCCGGGAUGAUAAUGACAGUACCGGGAGAAUAAGCUCCGGCUAACUCCGU
rnacentral:rRNA from 1 species